UACGUAGGGUGCGAGCGUUAAUCGGAAUUACUGGGCGUAAAGCGUGCGCAGGCGGUUCGUUGUGUCGGUGGUGAAAUCCCCGGGCUUAACCUGGGAAUGGCCAUGGAAACUGGCGAACUGGAGUGCGGCAGAGGGGGGUGGAAUUCCACGUGUAGCAGUGAAAUGCGUAGAGAUGUGGAGGAACACCGAUGGCGAAGGCAGCCCCCUGGGUCAACACUGACGCUCAUGCACGAAAGCGUGGGGAGCAAACAGG
rnacentral:rRNA from 1 species